AGAGACAAAUAUGUGCCGAUAUGCUGCGGUGUAAGGUCAUUUUCGUGGAUAUAUGACAUCAGUUCACCUCAAGUUCACACAAGCUGUGUCCAAAAGCUGAAAAAUAGAGGGCAACAGCGGGUCAAAUUGCUCCUGGGCCUCAAUCAUCUUCAUCAUCAUUUACUGAUCAUCUUCCUUUGGUCAUUUUCCAGCAUGAUCUUUCCAGAACCUGAUCCCCAACUAUUUUACAACAGAGUAAACCAUAUUAUUAUAGGAUUAAUGAUGCAAAUCUUGGAUUGCAAGAAGUGCACAGAGCAUAAAAGACAAUUAAAAGCCAUCAUUAAAGAGGCCAGAAAUUCCAAGUUGGUAUGGUUCGUGGUUUAACACUCCCCAUGCAGUAAAUAUGCCUUGAACUUAGUGCCAAAUUCAGUCAUUUGUGGAUAAUAUCCACACAAACAAUCCCCAUGUACAUCCUCUGACUCAUCGUGAGAUCAGCAACAACUCUGAAAGCUCUUAAUAGAACUUUAUAAUAAUAAUACUACAUUUCCUGUCUCAUGUGUGUCAUUGAGGUUAACAUUAUUUGAAUUUAUGGCCACGCUUCAGUUGGGGGACCAAUUCUCACCAUUGACUUCCUAUUAACUGCAAAUUUUGGAUCAAUAAACCCUACUUUGCUGAUGAUAAAUACUUAGUG
ensembl:lncRNA